GCGGUCGUAGCUCAGCUGGAUAGAGUACCUGACUACGAAUCAGGUGGUCGGAGGUUCGAAUCCUCCCGUCCGCACCA
rnacentral:tRNA from 2 species